AUAUUUACCUUCAGAGGAGAUGGGAUCAUGUGGGUGUUUUUCUCAGACCAAGACUUAACUAUUACACUCCAGAAUGUGCUGACAUCUGGUUAAUGUGGGAAACUCAACUGUAUAAUUCAUGGUAGUAUAGAGACUGCAUUCAAGGUCUCCC
rnacentral:snRNA from 1 species